UACGUAGGGUGCGAGCGUUAAUCGGAAUUACUGGGCGUAAAGCGUGCGCAGGCGGUUCGUUGUGUCGGCGGUGAAAGCCCCGGGCUUAACCUGGGAAUGGCCGUUGAAACUGGCGAACUGGAGUGUGGCAGAGGGGGGUGGAAUUCCGCGUGUAGCAGUGAAAUGCGUAGAGAUGCGGAGGAACACCGAUGGCGAAGGCAGCCCCCUGGGCCUGCACUGACGCUCAUGCACGAAAGCGUGGGGAGCAAACAGG
rnacentral:rRNA from 1 species